AGGACGAACGCUGGCGGCGUGCUUAACACAUGCAAGUCGAGCGGAAAGGCCUUUCGGGGUACUCGAGCGGCGAACGGGUGAGUAACACGUGAGUAAUCUGCCCAUCGCUUCAGGAUAGCCAUCGGAAACGGUGAUUAAUACUGGAUAUGACAUUCCUUCGCAUGUUGGGGUGUGGAAAGUUUUUUCGGCGGUGGAUGUGCUCGCGGCCUAUCAGCUUGUUGGUGGGGUAAUGGCCUACCAAGGCUUUGACGGGUAGCCGGCCUGAGAGGGUGACCGGGCCAACGACGUGGGACUGGAGACACGGCCCAGACUCCUACGGGAGGCAGCAGUGGGGAAUAUUGGACAAUGGGCGCAAGCCUGAUCCAGCCAUGCCGCGUGAGUGAAGAAGGCCUUCGGGUUGUAAAGCUCUUUGUACCGGAAAGAAAAGCUUACGGCCAAGUACCCCGGAGUCCUGACGGUACCGGAAGAAUAAGCACCGGCUAACUUCGUGCCAGCAGCCGC
rnacentral:rRNA from 1 species